GGCUUACCAUGCAGUCGAGGGGCAGCAUUUCAGUUUGCUUGCAAACUGGAGAUGGCGACCGGCGCACGGGUGAGUAACACGUAUCCAACCUGCCGAUAACUCGGGGAUAGCCUUUCGAAAGAAAGAUUAAUACCCGAUAGUAUAAUGAAACCGCAUGGUCUUAUUAUUAAAGAAUUUCGGUUAUCGAUGGGGAUGCGUUCCAUUAGGCAGUUGGUGAGGUAACGGCUCACCAAACCUUCGAUGGAUAGGGGUUCUGAGAGGAAGGUCCCCCACAUUGGAACUGAGACACGGUCCAAACUCCUACGGGAGGCAGCAGUGAGGAAUAUUGGUCAAUGGGCGCAGGCCUGAACCAGCCAAGUAGCGUGAAGGAUGACUGCCCUAUGGGUUGUAAACUUCUUUUAUAUGGGAAUAAAGUUUUCCACGUGUGGAAUUUUGUAUGUACCAUAUGAAUAAGGAUCGGCUAACUCCGUGCCAGCAGCCGCGGUAAUACGGAGGAUCCGAGCGUUAUCCGGAUUUAUUGGGUUUAAAGGGAGCGUAGGUGGACAGUUAAGUCAGUUGUGAAAGUUUGCGGCUCAACCGUAAAAUUGCAGUUGAUACUGGCUGUCUUGAGUACAGUAGAGGUGGGCGGAAUUCGUGGUGUAGCGGUGAAAUGCUUAGAUAUCACGAAGAACUCCGAUUGCGAAGGCAGCUCACUGGACUGCAACUGACACUGAUGCUCGAAAGUGUGGGUAUCAAACAGGAUUAGAUACCCUGGUAGUCCACACAGUAAACGAUGAAUACUCGCUGUUUGCGAUAUACAGUAAGCGGCCAAGCGAAAGCAUUAAGUAUUCCACCUGGGGAGUACGCCGGCAACGGUGAAACUCAAAGGAAUUGACGG
rnacentral:rRNA from 1 species